AAUCUAAACAAAUGCACACACUUUACCUUUGGUCCUGGGAAGCCUCGGUUACCUUGCCAUCCUGGGUUUCCUGUAGGCCCCUGACAAAAUGAUAAUGACAAAACAAAAAGUAAAUGGGAAAGAUCGCAACUGAGCAAUAUCAAGGUGUCCUUCAGUGAACUCAUGAUACUCACCCGGAAACGCUCGAUGUACACACUCAUGUCCAGAGUGUCUCCCUUCUCUCCCUUCCUGCCUGAUUGUCCCUUAUAGACGGAAACAAAUAGACAACGCCGUCUGCACCUGGCUUCCCCCUGGGCCCAGCUUGUCCUGGGUGACCCUGCAGAGUCAACGACAAAUCCAAACAGUCACACAAAGAACGAGAGUUCAGCGAGCUUCUACUGCUUUCAUCCACACUGAGGGAUAGACUUACA